rnacentral:rRNA from 2 species
UGCAAGUCGAACGAAACUUUCUUACACCGAAUGCUUGCAUUCACCGUAAGAAGUUGAGUGGCGGACGGGUGAGUAACACGUGGGUAACCUGCCUAAAAGAAGGGGAUAACACUUGGAAACAGGUGCUAAUACCGUAUAUCUCUAAGGAUCGCAUGAUCCUUAGAUGAAAGAUGGUUCUGCUAUCGCUUUUAGAUGGACCCGCGGCGUAUUAACUAGUUGGUGGGGUAACGGCCUACCAAGGUGAUGAUACGUAGCCGAACUGAGAGGUUGAUCGGCCACAUUGGGACUGAGACACGGCCCAAACUCCUACGGGAGGCAGCAGUAGGGAAUCUUCCACAAUGGACGCAAGUCUGAUGGAGCAACGCCGCGUGAGUGAAGAAGGUCUUCGGAUCGUAAAACUCUGUUGUUAGAGAAGAACACGAGUGAGAGUAACUGUUCAUUCGAUGACGGUAUCUAACCAGCAAGUCACGGCUAACUACGUGCCAGCAGCCGCGGUAAUACGUAGGUGGCAAGCGUUGUCCGGAUUUAUUGGGCGUAAAGGGAACGCAGGCGGUCUUUUAAGUCUGAUGUGAAAGCCUUCGGCUUAACCGGAGUAGUGCAUUGGAAACUG